CCUACGGGAGGCAGCAGUGAGGAAUAUUGGUCAAUGGACGAGAGUCUGAACCAGCCAAGUAGCGUGAAGGUUGACUGCCCUAUGGGUUGUAAACUUCUUUUAUAUGGGAAUAAAAUGUUCCACGUGUGGGAUUUUGUAUGUACCAUAUGAAUAAGGAUAGGCUAACUCCGUGCCAGCAGCCGCGGUAAUACGGAGGAUCCGAGCGUUAUCCGGAUUUAUUGGGUUUAAAGGGAGCGUAGGUGGAUUGUUAAGUCAGUUGUGAAAGUUUGCGGCUCAACCGUAAAAUUGCAGUUGAAACUGGCAGUCUUGAGUACAGUAGAGGUGUGCGGAAUUCGUGGUGUAGCGGUGAAAUGCUUAGAUAGCACGAAGAACUCCGAUUGCGAAGGCAGUUCACUGGACUGCAACUGACACUGAGGCUCGAAAGUGUGGGUAUCAAACAGGAUUAGAUACCCGGGUAGUC
rnacentral:rRNA from 1 species